UACGUACUGGGCGAACGUUAUUCGGAAUCACUGGGCUUAAAGGGUGCGUAGGCGGCUUGCCAAGUAGGGUGUGAAAGCCCCCGGCUUAACCGGGGAAUUGCGCCCUAAACUGGCGAGCUGGAGUGAGAUAGGGGUGUGUGGAACUUCCGGUGGAGCGGUGAAAUGUGUUGAUAUCGGAAGGAACGCCGGUGGCGAAAGCGACACACUGGGUCUCAACUGACGCUGAGGCACGAAAGCCAGGGGAGCGAACGGG
rnacentral:rRNA from 1 species